rnacentral:rRNA from 1 species
AGCGAACGCUGGCGGCAGGCCUAACACAUGUAAGUCGAGCGGCCGUAGCAAUACGGCAGCGGCAGACGGGAGAGUAACACGUGGGAACGCGCCCUUCGGUUCGGGAUAACUCAGGGAAACUUGAGCUAAUACCGGAUACGCCCUUACGGGGAAAGAUUUAUUGCCGAAGGAACGGCCCGCGUCCGAUUAGCUUGUUGGUGAGGUAACGGCUCACCAAGGCGACGAUCGGUAGCUGGUCUGAGAGGAUGACCAGCCUCACUGGGACUGAGACACGGCCCAGACUCCUACGGGAGGCAGCAGUGGGGAAUAUUGGACAAUGGGCGCAAGCCUGAUCCAGCCAUGCCGCGUGGGUGAUGAAGGCCCUAGGGUUGUAAAGCCCUUUCAGCGGGGAAGAUAAUGACGGUACCCGCAGAAGAAGCCCCGGCUAACUUCGUGCCAGCCGCCGCUGUAA